CCCAUUGACCAAGGCUCAUCUUGCUUGUACGUGAUUUGAGUCAACAUUCACAGUCUCCACCUUUGACCUAAUCACCAACCGACGUUUGCUUUUGUUCCUCGGUUUCUCAGAUUUCUCGAUCUCACUCCACCGCGACGUUCAGCUCCAAAGCUUCCUCCUGUCUCUGUUGCACAUCUGAGUCUCUCAAUAAUUGUGUAGUCAUCCUUGCAUGUAACGCCGGUGAAUCCUCUGUUCAUUAUCACCAUCUGACCACAAGACCUGAAGAUUUGAUACUGAAGCCAAUCAAUCAAGAUAAUUACCUUUCCGCCAGACACAUGUAAGAUAACCCGAUGCCACUUCCAAUUUCGGAUAACAUCUUUUGAGACCGGAUAUAUGAUAAAUUUCUGAUUUUCAUUUAUGCAUCUCUCGAUACUUGAAGCCGACCAACAACGGCUUGUUUGAACUUCAAUUCAGUUCCUCCUGCGACAAUACACGAACGUCACUAACUGAACACGAGCUACGAUGACCUUCUCAGAAUAAGAAAUCCAAAAUCCAACAGAACUUCAAGAAUUCCAGAUUAAUGGGAGAGAUAGAGAAUGCCCACUUUAAGGUGAAUCCAAACCACACAAGAAUGAGAUUCCAAAUCAACAAAGAAUCCCCUACAGGUUUCCACAAGCUUUCAUCAGGCGAUCACCUUCAGGAACUCAAGCCCCUUCUCGAGCUUGUUUCCAGGAACCAGAUUCAAAUACAAGAACAACCUUAACUCGCCUGAGUUUCGGGUUGUGUAACGCCCUUCUCAACACAACAGAAAACUAGCUCAAGAGAUAUGAUGAACCAAAUCCGAAUAACAACUUCUACUCCUGGUUGCAGCGACUAUCUUCAGAAAACUUACUGCACCUCAAACCAAGAAAUCCCAGAAAUCCCAACUGAAGAAACAACCAGCCCAUUGACCAAGGCUCAUCUUGCUUGUAUGUGAUUUGAGUCAACAUUCACAAGUUCAAAAAAAAAACUUGUACUACAGCCGAUAUAUGCUCUACAAAUAGAGUAACAUGCAAUGAAAAUCUGCGACGGUGAGGAUAGCGUUAAGUGUGUGAUACAUGAUAUGAACCCUUUUUUAAGUGAGUCAAUGACUUAAUUGUUGUAAAGUGGUGCUUAAAAUAUGCGACUAAAUUGAACCUUCAAGUCAGUGCCUCCACCGA